CAGCAGCUCCUCUCCGUCCCCCUUAGGAGUGUACCUAAAGCCCGGAGGCAAAGGGGUAGACCUCGGCUUGGCGUCAAUCAUCCUAUGACGCUCCAACAGCUGCGCAAUAUACCUAUGUUGCGACAACACUAUCUCACCCGACUUCUCCCUCCUAAUUUCCAUGCCCAAAAACACCUUCGCUUCUCCAAGGUCGCGCACCUUGAAGACCUUCGCAAUUGCGGCUUUAAUUGCCCGGACCAUUUCCGGGUCUUCCGACGCAACAAUUGUAUCAUCUACGUGCACCAAAGCAAUAACAACCCCACGCUCGUCCGUCUUAACAAACAUCGCCGGAUCAGACUUCGAAGGAUAAAGACCUAGUUUGGCGAACUCUGCUGAUAGCUUUUCAUACCAGCAACGGGGUGCCUGCUUCAAUCCGUUAUUGGAGAAUUGGCGACGGUGACGGCUAACGCUGAUUGUUAUUCCGGAAGGAUUGCCGGUGGCGAAGAUAUUUAGCACGAUAAAAUGUUACAAGUAAUGUAAAGAGUAUUGUUAGCGUUCGGCAGGACUUGAGGAGAUUCCUGGUAGGAAUACCGAUCGUUGUGAGAUAAACUAAUAGGCGCAGUCACCGCCCUAAAUACCGGCGCUAGCGGAAAACUCGUACAUUCCGCGAUCUAACUGUACGUACAUUCCGCGAUCUCACUGCGCCGUCCAGACGGUGCCCUAAUGUCUAUCACUUAGCUACCGGAUAUGCAUCGGUAGCCCCAUAAGGUUCUGGGGUAAGUCUUCCCCAUUAGUCAGGCGCAGACCCGGGGUCAAAUCCCCUGGUCGACAACCACACGAGUUGGGAGAGGACCGUUUCCUCAACACGCCCCCUCGGGCCGUAUCCCAACGAGUACCAAGUUCAUCUGCACAUCUCACACAAGGCCCAUAGCAUCUCGGCAACGUUUGAACUUCACCUCGCCCAGAGCCUUCGUUAGCACAUCCGCUACCAUCCACUCUGUAGGGCAGUAUUCCAACUGCACCUCACCGCUAUUCACCCUCUCACGCACUAUGUGAUGCUGCACGUCGAUGUGCUUCGACCGAGCAGACGNNNNNNNNNNNNNNNNNNNNNNNNNNNNNNNNNNNNNNNNNNNNNNNNNNUCGGUAGCACCCCGGAACAUUACCCCAGAACAACCAAAACGGAAAGCACCUGCUCGCAAGAAAAGGUGACGCUCCCGGGACGGUUCGCUUCUGAGGGGGAGGGAUGUAGCAAGCUACAUUUACCUUAGAAUAUCUUUAAGCUAUUAAGGCUUAAUCACAGUAACGGUACGGUCCCGUAUUUACGAACCAUACUCGUUAACUGUACGAACUCACUUUCUGGUACGCUAUCACAACCUAGCGUACGACACCAAGACUCCAGGAAUGGAGAUGGCGGCAGGUGGGCCGCAUUUAAGCCACCCAGGUGAAGUGCUUCGGCCAGACACUUCUGUAUCACUAUACUAGUGUUCAGGGUUCAAGACCUUGCUGUCACCGUUCUCGACCUAUGUCUUCGAAUCCCGACUUCCCUUGUCUCUUCUCGCGCCUAACUCUGGGUCGUCAAUCGUGGACGAGACCCUCCGUAAGAGACGGCUGUUACACAUCCUCAUAAUUUCCAUGCCCGAAAACACCUGCGCUUCUCCAAGAUCUCGUACAUCUCGUACACCUUUGCAACUAGCUAUGCAAAAGAGCGCUUGACACUGUCAUUUUCCAGUGUUUUCAAUUUGUACACCCACCGGUACAGUAGCACAUGCACAUCAAGAGGCUGUGCACAUCGCGCACAAAUGCCGUUAGCUGCUAAUGCAGCAAUCUCCUCGACCAUCACUCUGCGCCACUCAUUUACAUUUGCACCUGAAAUGGCUUCAGUGAAAGUAUUACUCAGCAAAAAAACAAAAGUUCAGCAGGGUACGGAUAAGUGACAGCCAUGUUAAUGCGACCUACUAUCCUCCUUCCUGCAACACCAUGCCACCACUCCGAGGGCAAUAAUAUCUUCUCAUAUUCCCUGCCCUAUUCUUCUGAACUCCUGCGCUGGCUUGCACCACUAGAUGUUCCGGCUUCAUCCGGCAUUCCUUCACCAUCCACAGGUGACAGUGGUGCCUAGCCGACUGUGGUUCCUGAGUCUACCAGAGCUUACGGAGGCCCUGACUCAGGUACACCAAUACUAGCCGCUUCGGAGUCAGACAAUUCCCCUUAAACAAGAUAGUUGCUCUUUUCUUGAAGCAAAAAUACAUGGCAUCACUGCACUGCCGCGACCGCCUGUCUGUUGAGGCAUGCACCCCACCUGCCACAUGCGGGUGCCAAGACCACCUCCACUCCUUCCCUGCACGUUAGGCUGCGGCUCUCUCUUCAACUCCGAGCUUCAACUCCGGGCCCGUCUGUUGGUAGUUGCAGCAAAUGAUCGCCUGCUGCAAUCCAUGCUAUCCAGCGGGGUCUAAAUUUUGGUAUCGAUGAUCAUUUGUUCGGUCCUCGCCUCACUUUGCGCCNNNNNNNNNNNNNNNNNNNNNNNNNNNNNNNNNNNNNNNNNNNNNNNNNNCGAACGUCGAACCGCCGACAGACGCGAAGGCUGCCGACUCGGUAGGCUUGCCCGACCCACCGUUAGCCGUCUCGAUAGAGAGAAGCUUUGCUGUGACGCUCGCCAUGUCCAAAUCGCCGUCGCGCAUAAGUAAUGUAGUCGUCACCACGCUGUACCGACUGGGUAGACCAACUAGCACGGUGUACGCCAGCUCGGAGUCGUUAACUACGUGGCCGACUCCCAAUAAAUCUGUUUGCAGCUGCCUUGCACGCGCAAAGUACAUCGGAAGAGGUUCGCCGUCGACCAUCUUAAAACGGCUGAAUUCUUGACGUAGAGACACCUUGCGGGCGUUGUUGUUGGCAGCAAACAUAGAUCCCAAGGCGUCCCAGGCCUUCUUCGCGUUGGCAGCACCGGUAACCAUCGGCAGAUGAUGAUCCUUGAUAUUCUUGAUGAGUAGAUUGAUGACCUUCCGUGACUGUCGAACUUGCUCCUCGUUGCACGGCUCGGCGAGCAGGGAUUGCUCAAGCCCAAGCUCCAUGCACAACGCGCUGAACCGAAUUUGCCAGGUAGAGUAGUUGUUGAGAUCCAGCGACUCAUCAAGUUUGUCCUUAACCAUUUUCGAUGAGGGAUAGAAAUAACAAUUUGGCGAUAACUGUCGGCGCUAAGCGGGGCUCAUAACCUAUUGGAGAAUUGGCGACGGUGACGGCUAACGCUGAUUGUUAUUCCGGAAGGAUUGCCGGUGGCGAAGAUAUUUAGCACGAUAAAAUGUUACAAGUAAUGUAAAGAGUAUUGUUAGCGUUCGGCAGGACUUGAGGAGAUUCCUGGUAGGAAUACCGAUCGUUGUGAGAUAAACUAAUAGGCGCAGUCACCGCCCUAAAUACCGGCGCUAGCGGAAAACUCGUACAUUCCGCGAUCUAACUGUACGUACAUUCCGCGAUCUCACUGCGCCGUCCAGACGGUGCCCUAAUGUCUAUCACUUAGCUACCGGAUAUGCAUCGGUAGCCCCAUAAGGUUCUGGGGUAAGUCUUCCCCAUUAGUCAGGCGCAGACCCGGGGUCAAAUCCCCUGGUCGACAACCACACGAGUUGGGAGAGGACCGUUUCCUCAACAUCCGUAAAUAGACUUCUGCAGCUUGCACGCAAGCGACCGGUCACUGGAUGCAUACCCAGGCGGUUGCUCCAUCCACAACUCCUCCUUCAGCUCACCAUUCAGAAACGCAGUAGACACAUCGAGCUGAUGUACCGUCAUGUUCCGGGCUGCGGCAACUGCUAAUAAAGCACGCAAUGACGAACCACGAGAGGUAGGGGCAAACAACUCCCCAUAAUCAAUCCCCUCACGUUGCUCGAAACCCUUGGCAACUAAACGCGCCUUAAAACGCUCCACGCUGCCGUCAUCGCUGUACUUAACCUUAUAUACCCAACGACACGGCAACAAACGAGUACCAGGAGGUGGCGUCUUCAGCUCCCAAGUACUGUUAGCCAUCUGGGCGGCGAUCUCCUCGUCCAUCGCACGCCGCCAGUCGUCUGCAUGUGGACUAGCAAUUGCUUCCUCAAACGAAUUAGGCUCAGGAAUACCAGCAGAGAAAGCAGCGUUAACGCGACCAGUGACAGUGCGACCAGGUUCGUUUCGCCACCAUUCGCCAGGGCGUUUACGCUCUCUAACUGGGUACCUAGUUCCCGCCAUUUCCACAUCANGCUGAUUG
rnacentral:lncRNA from 1 species